GACGGAGGGGGCGAGCGUUAUUCGGAAUCACUGGGCGUAAAGGGCGCGUAGGCGGUGGGGCGUGUGGGGUGUGAAAGCCCGGGGCUCAACUGCGGGAGGGCACCCGGGACUGCGCGGCUGGAGACCGGGAGAGGAGGGUGGAAUACCCGGUGUAGAGGUGAAAUGCGUAGAUAUCGGGUGGAACACCGGUGGCGAAGGCGGCCCUCUGGCCUGUGUCUGACGCUGAGGCGCGAAAGCGUGGGGAGCAAACAGG
rnacentral:rRNA from 1 species